rnacentral:rRNA from 1 species
UACGGAGGGGGCUAGCGUUGUUCGGAAUUACUGGGCGUAAAGCGCACGUAGGCGGCUUUGUAAGUUAGAGGUGAAAGCCCGGGGCUCAACUUCGGAAUUGCCUUUAAGACUGCAUCGCUUGAACGUCGGAGAGGUGAGUGGAAUUCCGAGUGUAGAGGUGAAAUUCGUAGAUAUUCGGAAGAACACCAGUGGCGAAGGCGGCUCACUGGACGACUGUUGACGCUGAGGUGCGAAAGCGUGGGGAGCAAACAGG